UCUAAACCCAUUAACGCCACUAAAAAAGACAUUUAAAGGAUAGAAAUCGUAAUUAUGAGAUCAGAAUUAUAUUUUCUAUGAUUGAAACUUUUUCAGAGCUUGUUGGACUUUUACCAUGACGUAAAUAAAGUGCGUAAUCUUUAAGAAGGGGCGUGGCUUCUCGGUACGUUUCUAUUGCUGCUUCCGUGCAGCUCAAUGCGGAAGACAAACAGGGAUCAACUCAUUCCUAAUAAACUCCGAAACCGGACCGAAAGAAAGUUCCCAAGGAGUUGCGAUUGAGACCUGAAGUAUUUCACUUGUCAGGUCAAAAAUCAUAACAUGUGGCCAAAUCAAGGUCCUCCCCCUCCAGUGGGCCCACCAAACCCUGCCUAUCCUCCUGGCCACAACCCUGCAUAUCCUGUUGCACCUACAUCAGGAUUCUUCCCACCACCUGGGCAAUAUCCAGCUGGGCAAUAUCCAGCCGGGCAAUAUCCAGCCGGGCAAUAUCCAGCCGGGCAAUAUCCAGCCAUGGUACCACAAGUACCCCCAGGGGGCAUGCCUUAUAGUGCUCAGGGACCCAAUCCUUAUCCUAUGGCUCCGGGUGGAUAUCCACUUGUUCCUCCUGCAGGGGCUCACCCAGGUCCUUACCCGCACUCUCCAAAAGGAGGUCACCAUAAAGGCCAUAAAGGCCACAAAAAGAUGAAAAAGGUGAAGAAGAUGAAGAAGGCGCAUAAGGGGCAGAAACACGGCAAGUCGUCCAGCAGCAGUAGCAGCAGCAGCAGCAGCAGUGACUAAGACCGAGGCCACAAGGCUUUUUCAGAAGCAAGAGUGCAACCUUUAUAUUAAAAAUAACCACACUAAAGUCAUACUUGUCACUUUAAACAUGAAGUGUACAAUUAAAGCAUUUAAAUAAAAUAAAGAUAGAAAUAAAGUGUUUUAGCAUUUCUCAUUAGAAAUGCAUGCAUGAGCUGUUAACGAUCUCACAGUAUUUGCUGUGUUUACACUCCACCGUGGUGUUUGUGGUGUUUUCAAGUUCCAUUACGAGUACAUUAGUACACAAACAUAUUGACAUUAGUUUGACAUGGGCUGCAGAAUUGAUUUAUGAGAAUAUCUAACAAUGUGAUUUAUUCAAAGAAAAUGUUUUUUUUAUUUUUUAUGAUUGACCUUGAGAUGGAGAUUCAUACGGAUAUUGAGUGUCUUUAUUUUUGUUCACUGCUACACAGCUCAUCACUGCUCACAUCAGUACUACACAUAACUGCAGAAUGCAUUAUUCUACAAGGCUUUGUUUCAGCAUUAAUUGUUAAUAUAAAUAAAGAGUCUUCAAUUAAA
ensembl:lncRNA